rnacentral:rRNA from 1 species
UAACACGUAGGGACCGAGCGUUGUCCGGAUUUAUUGGGCGUAAAGCGCGCGUAGGCGGCUGUCCACGUCGGAUGUGAAAGCUCGGAGCUCAACUCUGAGAGGCCAUUCGAUACGGGACAGCUAGAGGCAGCUAGGGGAGAGUGGAAUUCCUGGUGUAGCGGUGAAAUGCGCAGAUAUCAGGAGGAACACCGGUGGCGAAGGCGGCUCUCUGGGGCUGUUCUGACGCUGAGGCGCGAAAGCUGGGGGAGCGAACAGGAUUAGAUACCCUGGUAGUCCCAGCCGUAAACGUUGGGUGCUAGGUGUGGGGAGGCCUUCAACCCUUUCCGUGCCGAAGCUAACGCAUUAAGCACCCCGCCUGGGGAGUACGGCCGCAAGGCUA